rnacentral:rRNA from 1 species
UUGAACGCUGGCGGCAGGCCUAACACAUGCAAGUCGAGCGGUAGCACAGAGAGCUUGCUCUCGGGUGACGAGCGGCGGACGGGUGAGUAAUGUCUGGGAAACUGCCUGAUGGAGGGGGAUAACUACUGGAAACGGUAGCUAAUACCGCAUAACGUCGCAAGACCAAAGUGGGGGACCUUCGGGCCUCAUGCCAUCAGAUGUGCCCAGAUGGGAUUAGCUAGUAGGUGGGGUAACGGCUCACCUAGGCGACGAUCCCUAGCUGGUCUGAGAGGAUGACCAGCCACACUGGAACUGAGACACGGUCCAGACUCCUACGGGAGGCAGCAGUGGGGAAUAUUGCACAAUGGGCGCAAGCCUGAUGCAGCCAUGCCGCGUGUGUGAAGAAGGCCUUCGGGUUGUAAAGCACUUUCAGCGGGGAGGAAGGCGAUAAGGUUAAUAACCUUGUCGAUUGACGUUACCCGCAGAAGAAGCACCGGCUAACUCCGUGCCAGCAGCCGCGGUAAUACGGAGGGUGCAAGCGUUAAUCGGAAUUACUGGGCGUAAAGCGCACGCAGGCGGUCUGUCAAGUCGGAUGUGAAAUCCCCGGGCUCAACCUGGGAACUGCAUUCGAAACUGGCAGGCUAGAGUCUUGUAGAGGGGGGUAGAAUUCCAGGUGUAGCGGUGAAAUGCGUAGAGAUCUGGAGGAAUACCGGUGGCGAAGGCGGCCCCCUGGACAAAGACUGACGCUCAGGUGCGAAAGCGUGGGGAGCAAACAGGAUUAGAUACCCUGGUAGUCCACGCCGUAAACGAUGUCGAUUUGGAGGUUGUGCCCUUGAGGCGUGGCUUCCGGAGCUAACGCGUUAAAUCGACCGCCUGGGGAGUACGGCCGCAAGGUUAAAACUCAAAUGAAUUGACGGGGGCCCGCACAAGCGGUGGAGCAUGUGGUUUAAUUCGAUGCAACGCGAAGAACCUUACCUGGUCUUGACAUCCACAGAACUUUCCAGAGAUGGAUUGGUGCCUUCGGGAACUGUGAGACAGGUGCUGCAUGGCUGUCGUCAGCUCGUGUUGUGAAAUGUUGGGUUAAGUCCCGCAACGAGCGCAACCCUUAUCCUUUGUUGCCAGCGGUUCGGCCGGGAACUCAAAGGAGACUGCCAGUGAUAAACUGGAGGAAGGUGGGGAUGACGUCAAGUCAUCAUGGCCCUUACGACCAGGGCUACACACGUGCUACAAUGGCAUAUACAAAGAGAAGCGACCUCGCGAGAGCAAGCGGACCUCAUAAAGUAUGUCGUAGUCCGGAUUGGAGUCUGCAACUCGACUCCAUGAAGUCGGAAUCGCUAGUAAUCGUAGAUCAGAAUGCUACGGUGAAUACGUUCCCGGGCCUUGUACACACCGCCCGUCACACCAUGGGAGUGGGUUGCAAAAGAAGUAGGUAGCUUAACCUUCGGGAGGGCGCUUACCACUUUGUGAUUCAUGACUGGGGUG